rnacentral:rRNA from 1 species
UGGGGAAUAUUGCACAAUGGGCGCAAGCCUGAUGCAGCCAUGCCGCGUGUUGUGAAGAAGGCCUUCGGGUUGUAAAGCACUUUCAGCGAGGAGGAAGGUGGUGAACUUAAUGCGUUCAUCAAUUGACGUUACUCGCAGAAGAAGCACCGGCUAACUCCGUGCCAGCAGCCGCGGUAAUACGGAGGGUGCAAGCGUUAAUCGGAAUUACUGGGCGUAAAGCGCACGCAGGCGGUUUGUUAAGUCAGAUGUGAAAUCCCCGGGCUCAACCUGGGAACUGCAUUUGAAACUGGCAAGCUAGAGUCUCGUAGAGGGGGUAGAAUUCCAGGUGUAGCGGUGAAAUGCGUAGAGAUCUGGAGGAAUGCAG